UACGUAGGAGGGCAAGCGUUGUCGGAAUUAUUGGGCGUAAAGGGCGCGUAGGCGGCCUGGCAAGUGGAAGGUGAAAUCCCUCGGCUUAACCGAGGAACUGCCCUCCAAACUGCUUGGCUUGAGACCGGGAGAGGUGAGUGGAAUUCCCAGUGUAGCGGUGAAAUGCGUAGAUAUCGGGAGGAACACCAGUGGCGAAGGCGAGUCUCUGGGCAGUAACUGACGCUGAGGAGCGAAAGCGUGGGGAGCGAACAGG
rnacentral:rRNA from 1 species